rnacentral:rRNA from 1 species
AACGCGAAGAACCUUACCCAGGCUUGAACAGCGAGUGACAUCCGGCGAAAGCCGGCUCCCGCAAGGGCACUCGUACAGGUGCUGCAUGGCUGUCGUCAGCUCGUGUCGUGAGGUGUUGGGUUAUGUCCCGCAACGAGCGCAACCCCCGUUCUCAGUUGCUAACGCGUCAUGGCGAGGACUCUGGGAAGACUGCCGGUGCUAAACCGGAGGAAGGUGGGGACGACGUCAAGUCAUCAUGCCCCUUAUGUCUUGGGCUUCACGCAUGCUACAAUGGCCGGUACAAAGGGCUGCGAUACCGUGAGGUGGAGCGAAUCCCAAAAAGCCGGUCUCAGUUCGGAUUGGGGUCUGCAACUCGACCCCAUGAAGUUGGAGUCGCUAGUAAUCGCAGAUCAGCAACGCUGCGGUGAAUACGUUCCCGGGCCUUGUACACACCG